rnacentral:tRNA from 1 species
CCGCCACCGGCGUGGUGGCGACCGGCGGCGGAAGCCGGGCGGCGCGCUGGCGCAGUGAGCCGUUGGCGGGCGCGCCGUCGGCGGCGGC